rnacentral:misc_RNA from 1 species
CCCAGUAUACAUUGAUCUGCACCCAAAUACCGUAGAAAAUUAUCCACUGCUACAAUCUGAUGACAUGUUACCUCCUACGCAUGACCUCAUCACAGGUUUUUCUCCAGAAGCAUAUAUAGUGCAAUUAAGAGUUAUUUUGGAUCGGAAAUCCUUGUCAUUAUCCAAGUUGUUAAAUAUGUUCACACAUUUUUUACAGAUUUUCGCUUGGAUGGAAGAGAUAGAUUAAAAAUGAAGCAACGGUUGUACAAAAGCAAAGAUUCCUUACUAGAUGAGUCUUUGCUACCGACUAUCUCGUCUCGAGUUUGUAGAUUUAAUGCUACGACGAACCAAAAAUCAAGUUUCAGAAACAAGAGAAUCAAGGAUAGGGUAUCGAUAAUAGGAAUGGCGAGUCGCACAAGAAGCAUUAUUAGAGCAGACUAUUCAAA